GCCAGGCAUGGUGGUGCAUGCCUGUAGUCCCAGCUACUUGGGAGGCUGAGGCAGGAGAAUUGCUUGAACUCAGGAGGUGGAGGUUGCAGUGAGCUGAGAUUGAGCCGCUGCACUCCAGCCUGGGUGACAGAACGAGACUCUGUCUCAA
rnacentral:SRP_RNA from 1 species